CUUCACACGUCAUAACAAGUGGUGCAUACAGGAGGGUUGACCCAACCCGCGAGGGGGAGCUAAUCUCAGAAAAUGCAUCGUAGUCCGGAUCGUAGUCUGCAACUCGACUACGUGAAGCUGGAAUCGCUAGUAAUCGCGGAUCAGCAUGCCGCGGUGAAUACGUUCCCGGGCCUU
rnacentral:rRNA from 1 species